rnacentral:rRNA from 1 species
UACGAAGGGGGCUAGCGUUGUUCGGAUUUACUGGGCGUAAAGGGCGCGUAGGCGGCGUGGUAAGUCAGUUGUGAAAUCUCCGAGCUUAACUCGGAACGGCCAACUGAUACUGCUGUGCUAGAGUGCAGAAGGGGCAAUCAGAAUUCUUGGUGUAGCGGUGAAAUGCGUAGAUAUCAAGAGGAAUACCAGAGGUGAAGACGGGUUGCUAGGCUGACACUGACGCUGAGGCGCGAAAGCCAGGGGAGCAAACGGG